AUUACAUAUAAAAUAUUUAUACAUUAAUUCUGCAAGUUAAUAUAUUUUUAUGAUUUUCUUUUUCAAUCAACCCGAAUUGUACCCUAGUCCCGGCGAGGAGCCAAGUCUGAGUGGACUUGACGAGUUUGUAAGCACCGGUAAUAAAUGAUAAACAAGGAGUACCACCUACCUCUAGGAAUAGGAGGAAAAAAUGAAAAGGGUAGGUUGGAGUGGUUUCCUUUUGGGGCAAACUCCAAGAAUUGAGUCCAUGAACACCCUCAUGCAGACUCGAUGUGAGCCAUACUUAAACAAUUAUCAUAAAAUGAAAACAGAGGAAACAACUAUUUGUACAAAUAGGGGGACAAUUAGGUCUUGUACCGAAUCAUUGAUACUCACUUGAAAGGUCAUGAAGAAUUUUUCAUUUUGAUGGAUGCGAUAAUCAUUGUGUGAAUAUAACUUAGAUUGCUUUUUUUGACAUUGAGAACAUCAGAACAUAUGAUUUUUUUUUUUUGAAACAAUAGCAAUUAUAUUUACUCAACAAUGAAAAGAAAAGAUUAUAUUCAAGCAUUAAUUUGGAAUUAGAAUUGUCAAUCCCUAGCCAUGUACCAAGGCACAUUUGGAAACUUAAAUGAUCGAAGAAUGUUUUUCCUGAAAUUAAAUUAUCUUAACAUGGUGGUACUACACAUUCGAAAUCUGCAUAACUAUGUUUUAUAAUAUUGUCAUAAAUUUAAGAUUAUAAUUCAAUCACCUCUAGGAUUACCGAUCUAUAAAAACGAAAUAUUCACUCUCUAGGAUACGAUAUCUCUAAUGUUGCUGCUUUUCUUUUUGUUAUAUAUUUGUACAUCUUGGGUUGCUACUCUUACUGCUUUUCUACCAGCAUUCCCCUUGGAACAGAAUCCAUGUCAUUCAUGUUUAUCUCAAAAGGCUCUCACAUGACAAAAAGCAAUGAAUUUUCCUUGUCAGCUUAUAAUGAACCAUGCCUGAUUUUAGUUCAUACCUUUAGUUCCACAUUAGCAUCCAGAUGUACCUAGUUUUAACAUAAUCAAACUACUUUGAAUUGUCAUUGAUGUUAUGGCCACAAUGUUGCUCCUACCCACCUUCACUUUCCUCUUUAGCACAUUUAGAAAUGACUGUAACGUCUCUAUGCCCUUCUUAUGUUGUACUGCUCUGUUAUAGAUAAUUUUAUUAUGCUAUGAGUGUGGUCAUUCUUGGUCAUUGUUCUUUUUUGUUUAAACUCUAUUGGUUUCUUCUAGCACCAAUGUGAACGGAUUAAAGAAUUUUCCCCAAGUAUGCAUGAAUGAUUUUCAUAGGUUUGUUACUUGGUGGACCUUGUUAUUGUAAACCAACUUUUCUUCUGUUGUACUCGAAUUUCAUUAUUUAACAACGUAAAAUAUGUUCUUGAUACUUGGGUAAUUUUCACUGAUUUAUUAUGGGAUACAGAGUUAUUAAUAUAUGUUUUAUUCUUUGAUAAUAUGUGAUGGCAUGUUUUGAGUGGUCAAAUUGUGUAGUUCAGACUUCAGACAUGAAGAAAAAGAAGCAUCAUACUCUGAAUGCAACUUUAUUGAAGAAUAAGAAAGGAUUGUUUAUGGAAAUGGACUGCUCUGAUCAAAUUAGCAAGCUUUCUGACAGCAUUCUUGGUUGCAUAAUAAGCCAUUUGCCUAUGAAAGAUGCAGUGAGGAAAGAUGGAAAGACAUGUGGACUUUUGUCAUUGACCUUGAUUUCAAUGAAGACCUCUUUCCCUUCAAGAAGCAAUCAGGAAAGAGAAAGUAAGGGAAGACGAUGAUUGGAAAGAGAGCACAAAUGGUGGAGAGUAUCAACCACUUCUUAGAACAUCACAGCGGUCAUAUUCAAAGAUUUAAGCUAUUGUUCUACCCUCAUAGGUUCAAAUCCCAUGUUCAUGAGUGGAUUGCUUUUCUCUCAAGAAGUGGGGCCCAAGAAGUUGAUCUCAAUUUCGUUGGGAGUUUAUGGCAUAUGAAGGGCCUUGCUAUAAGCUGGCUGUUGUUUCUUUAGUCGCAAAUCCAUGAGGACAUUGACUUUGCGAAAUUGCACUGUGGGGCUCCCAAAGGUAUACAAAGGAUUUAGUUAUCUUACAACUCUUAUUCUGCAGGGAGUUUAUAUACAAGACAAGCAACUUACAAAUUUGAUCUCCAAAUGUGGGGUUCUUCAAAACUUGACCUUAAGGUUGUUGAAUUGCUCAAUUACGCAAGACACUGAAGUGAUGGAUACUGUGUCAAAAAAGAAAAACUAUGGUAGGGUUCUACACCACCUGGUUAAUGUGGAAACUCUAUCCUUGCAAAUUUUGUGAAGGUAAAAUUCAACCUUUAAUGGAAUGACUUAUAUUUUUACAAGUUGUGCAUAUUGUAGAUGCAUAUGGAUGAAUUGUUAGGUAUCGUUUGGGGAGUCUAUUAUUAAUUUUAUAACCCAUUUUCACAACAUAUAUUACUUCAUUUUGACAUUUCAUAUUUUAAUUUUUAGUCUGGGCCUACAUAUGCAAUAUUAAAAGUAAAGAAAACAAACCAUAGUCCACUGGCGUGUGGUAUACGUUGCUCCAAAGGCCAUAUCCACCAUUUAUCCCUACUAACGGAUGGUUGGAGGUUAAUAGUACCUGGAUGAAUGUACGUAUGUGCCUGUAGUUUAUCUCGAACCAUACGUGUGUGGAUGGAGUCCUGGACUUUCAUAAAUCAUAGUCUAUUGGUAUAUGGUAUACUUUACAUCGAAAUAUGUUGGAAAUUAAUUGGAUCUUGCUUAGUUUACAGAACUUGAACUUCUGAAAAUCAUUCUGUCUUUUGAAGUUUAUGGAUGAGUUAUGUUGCAUAAGAAGAUUGUAUUUCUUAAUUGCUUGUCUACGAUGAAACACAUGCAAUUUUGGUUCUGUGAGCUCUGCUCUCACCUUUCCUUUUGGUUACAGUCUUUGGCCUAUAAGGUAAUUAUUGCAAAUUUUCCUACAUGGUUUCCAAAUUUGAAGAAGUUGAAUGUGCAAGCAAAUAUGGCAAAGGAUUUGGAGGCUGCUGUAAUUGCUAUUUUGCUUAGUAGUUCUCUUUCCUUACAAGAUAUUGUUAUUCAGGAGAGGUGGACGAAAUUGGGCUUGUCAGGUUCUUUCUUGUGAAUGCCAAGAAGCUCAGGAAGAUCAGAAUUAGUUGCUAUAGAUGCAUGAGAUGGGGGCCAACGGACAGGCUUAGUGAAUUACAGCUCUUGAAGACGGCUACAAAAACCAAACUAAUUAUUGAUUUCAACUCAUAUGAGGAGAGGUGGACGAAAUUGGACUUGUCAGGUUCUUUCUUGUGAAUGCAAAGAAGCUCAGGAAGAUCAGAAUUAGUUGCUAUAGAUGCAUGAGAUGGGGGUCAAAGGACGGGCUUAGUAAAUUACAGCUCUUGAAGAGGGCUACAAAAACCAAACUAAUUAUAUGAUUUCAACUCAUAUGAGGUAGCAUAGCUGAAUGGCUCGUGGGCAUGUAUGUCUUUGAUUGAAGUUGACAUAUGACAAUGAUUUUGUCAUUUUUUGUCACUGCUAGUUUUAGACAAUUACAAUUUAAUUUGCUGAUUUCAAUUGAAGGAAGACAGGUCUUGGAGGAGUGUUGCUAUGUUUUGAACCAUGUCACGAUGUUCACUGUGAUUUUAUAUUUUGUCGUCUUAA